CAGUCGCCGCGGUAAUACGUAGGUGGCAAGCGUUGUCCGGAAUUAUUGGGCGUAAAGCGCGCGCAGGCGGUUUCUCAAGUCUGAUGUGAAAGCCCCCGGCUUAACCGGGGAGGGACAUUGGAAACUGGGAGACUUAGAGUGCAGAAGAGGAGAGUGGAAUUCCAUGUGUAGCGGUGAAAUGCGUAGAGAUGUGGAGGAACACCAGUGGCGAAGGCGACUCUCUGGUCUGUAACUGACGCUGAGGAGCGAAAGCGUGGGGAGCGAACAGGAUUAGAUACCCCUGUAGUCCCUGUCUCUUAUU
rnacentral:rRNA from 1 species